AGUGAACGCUGGCGGUAGGCCUAACACAUGCAAGUCGAACGGCAGCACAGUAAGAGCUUGCUCUUACGGGUGGCGAGUGGCGGACGGGUGAGGAAUACAUCGGAAUCUACUUUUUCGUGGGGGAUAACGUAGGGAAACUUACGCUAAUACCGCAUACGACCUACGGGUGAAAGCAGGGGAUCUUCGGACCUUGCGCGAUUGAAUGAGCCGAUGUCGGAUUAGCUAGUUGGCGGGGUAAAGGCCCACCAAGGCGACGAUCCGUAGCUGGUCUGAGAGGAUGGUCGGCCACACUGGAACUGAGACACGGUCCAGACUCCUACGGGAGGCAGCAGUGGGGAAUAGUGGACAAUGGGCGCAAGCCUGAUCCAGCCAUACCGCGUGGGUGAAGAAGGCCUUCGGGUUGUAAAGACCUUUUGUUGGGAAAGAAAAGCAGCAGGUUGAUACCCCGCUGUUCUGACGGUAACGGAAGAAUAAGCACCGGCUAACUUCGUG
rnacentral:rRNA from 1 species